UACGUAGGGUGCAAGCGUUGUCCGGAAUUAUUGGGCGUAAAGAGCUCGUAGGCGGUCUGUCGCGUCUGCUGUGAAAACUCAGGGCUUAACCCUGAGCUUGCAGUGGGUACGGGCAGACUAGAGUGCGGUAGGGGAGACUGGAAUUCCUGGUGUAGCGGUGAAAUGCGCAGAUAUCAGGAGGAACACCGGUGGCGAAGGCGGAUCUCUGGGCCUUGCCUGACGCUGAGGCGCGAAAGCUAGGGGAGCGAACAGG
rnacentral:rRNA from 1 species